rnacentral:rRNA from 1 species
CGCAUCUGUGCAUGCAGCAUAUCAAUAAGCGGAGGAAAAGAAACUAACAAGGAUUCCCUCAUGUAACGGCGAGUGAAGCGGGAAGAGCUCAAAUUUGAAAUCUUGAAAGGUCACCUUUCACGAAUUGUAGUUUAAAGAAGUGUUUUCUGUUACGAUCGUAAUAUAAGUUCUUUGGAAUAGGACAUCACAGAGGGUGAGAAUCCCGUCUAUGAUUGCGAUUUGUAGCUUUGUGAUACACUUUCAAAGAGUCGGGUUGUUUGGGAAUGCAGCCCAAAACGGGAGGUAAAUUUCUUCUAAGGCUAAAUAUUGGCGAGAGACCGAUAGCGAACAAGUACCGUGAGGGAAAGAUGAAAAGAACUUUGAAAAGAGAGUUAAAUAGUACGUGAAAUUGUCAAAAGGGAAGCGUUUAACACCAGUGUUGUUUUCUGAAAAUCAACCUCUGUUAGCUUUAUGCAUGUUUGUUUAGACCUAAUCAGCUAUCUUGCAUGUUCUAUUGUUUGCAGUGGUGCACUUUUCAGUUUACAGGUCAACAUCAGUUUUUUUUACCGUAAAAAAGUUAAAGAAAGGUAGCUCAUGGCUCCGGUCGUGAGUGUUAUAGUCUUUUUCCUAUGCGGUAGGAGAGACUGAGGUCAGCAGUGUAGGCUAUUUGGCUAGAUACUCAGGUGCUAUGUGAUACCAUUUCAUAAACAACUUGUUGAUUAUGUUUUGUCUAUUGCAUACUCGCUUGUACUAUCAUACCUACGCUUAGGAUGUUGACGAUCAGCUGAGCGCG